rnacentral:misc_RNA from 1 species
GAUGAAGAACGCAGCGAAAUGCGAUAAGUAAUGUGAAUUGCAGAAUCCAGUGAAUCAUCGAAUCUUUGAACGCACAUUGCGCCCGCCAGCAUUCUGGCGGGCAUGCCUGUUCGAGCGUCAUUUCAACCCUCGACCUCCCUUUGGGGAAGUCGGCGUUGGGGACCGGCAGCACACCGCCGGCCCUGAAAUGGAGUGGCGGCCCGUCCGCGGCGACCUCUGCGUAGUAAACCAACUCGCACCGGAACCCCGACGUGGCCACGCCGUAAAACACCCAACUUCUGAACGUUGACCUCGAAUCAGGUAGGACUACCCGCUGAACUUAAGCAUAUCAAUAAGCGGAA